rnacentral:lncRNA from 10 species
CCUGUGGUCCCACCCAGAGGCAUGAGGAAUGGUUCCCACACCCCUAUGAUUUCAUCCCCACCCAAUCAGUAGCACCAAUUCCCCAGCCCUCUGCCCACCAAAUUGUACAUAAAAACCCUAAGCUUCAAGCCUUUGGGGAGACUGACUUAAGUUAUAACUCCAGUUCUUCAGCAUGAACCAGCAUUGUGUCAAUUAAACUUUCUCUACUGUAAUGCUGUGGUCUCGGCGGACUGAUUUUGUCUGUGCAGCGGGAAGGAAGAAUCCAUCAGGCAAUUACAGUAUUCAGACUCUGAGGAACUGAAGGACAGAGCCUAAAGGAAAGCCGCAUGAACCACAGCCUCCACUUGCUUUCCUGCACAGUAUUUCAUAAGGGCCAACAUGGCCCCUGAAUUCCCCUAGAGCCACCAGCAUUCCACUAUCAGCAGUGGGCAGGAAUGGAGAACACGGGACCACCAUUUUUGACCUAUACUCCUUAAAACAAGAAGGGUGAGUGUGUGAAAGAAUAAAUAAAUAAAUAUUUCGGGUUCAAUUAAAUCUUGAAGAUCUUGACUCACUUUCUUACACUACACUAAACAUGAGGAGCAACAUUUGACUAAAAGCUGCUUAACUCUGAAAAACAAAUUUAUACUGAAACAAUUUAAAAACAUUUUAGAAAGUGCUUAACUUUGAAGGCAAGAAAUACGCAACAACAUUUCAUUUUCUUUCUUUUUUUUUU